UACGGAGGGUGCAAGCGUUAAUCGGAAUUACUGGGCGUAAAGCGUGCGCAGGCGGUUUGUUAAGUCUGUUGUGAAAUCCCCGAGCUCAACUUGGGAAUUGCAAUGGAUACUGGCAGGCUGGAGUAUGGUAGAGGAAGGUGGAAUUCCCGGUGUAGCAGUGAAAUGCGGAGAGAUCGGGAGGAAACACAGUGGCGAAGGCGGCCUUCUGGACCAAUACUGACGCUCAUGCACGAAAGCGUGGGGAGCAAACAGG
rnacentral:rRNA from 1 species